rnacentral:rRNA from 1 species
GUUGAACGCUGGCGGCGGGCCUAAUACAUGCAAGUCGAGCGGACAGACGAAGAUCGCUCUUGGCUUCCGUUGCCGAUGGACGGGUGAUGACUACGUGGAUGACCUGCCUAUGGGGCUAGCAUAAGUUCAGGGAACCUAAUCUAACACCCGUUAUGAGGGAGAAAGUCGGGGAUCUACAGUGCAAGACCUUCUUGCUGUCACUUAGAGGGGUAUCCUCGUCGCAUUAGCUAGUUGGUAAGGUAACGCCUUACCAAGGCAACGAUGCGUAGCCGACCUGAGAGGGUGAUCAGCCACACUGGAACUGAGACACGGUCCAGACUCCUACGGGAGGCAGCAGUAGGGAAUAUUCCGCAAUGGGCGAAAGCCUGACGGAGCCAUGCCGCGUGAGUGAAGAAGGUCUUCGGAUCGUAAAACUCUGUUAGUAGGGAAGAACAAAUGUGUAAGUAACUAUGCACGUCUUGACGUUACCUAAUCAGAAAGCAACGGCUAACUACGUG